rnacentral:rRNA from 1 species
GACAGAGGGUGCAAACGUUGUUCGGAUUUACUGGGCAUAAAGCGCGUGUAGGCGGCUUUGCAAGUCGGAUGUGAAAUCCCACGGCUCAACCGUGGAAGUGCAUCCGAAACUGCAUCGCUGGAGUCUCGGAGAGGAAGGUGGAAUGCUUGGUGUAGAGGUGAAAUUCGUAGAUAUCAAGCAGAACACCGGCGGCGAAGGCGGCCUUCUGGACGAUGACUGACGCUGAGACGCGAAAGCGUGGGGAGCAAACAGG